rnacentral:rRNA from 1 species
GUCUACAGCCAUGCCACCCUGAACAAGCCCGAUCCCGUCUGAUCUCAGAAGCUAAGCAGGGUUGGGCCUGGUUAGUACUUGGAUGGGAGGCCACCUAGGAAGACCAGGUGCUAUAGACA